rnacentral:rRNA from 1 species
GGUGUGGGGAGUAGCCGGCCCAACGGCCGGGUAAUACCGCAUACGCUCUUCUUUAGGCAUUUAGAGGAGAGGAAACCUUCGGGGCACCAUGAGGGGCUCGCGGCCUAUCAGCUAGUUGGCGAGGUAAUGGCUCACCAAGGCUACGACGGGUAGCUGGUCUGAGAGGAUGGCCAGCCACAUUGGGACUGAGAAACGGCCCAG